rnacentral:lncRNA from 1 species
AGACGGCCCUAUCCCUGUCUCCCUUGGCUGACUCUCUUUUCGGACUCAGCCCGCCUGCACCCAGGUGAAAUAAACAGCCUUGUUGCUCACACAAAGCCUGUUUGGUGGUCUCUUCACACAAACGCGCAUGAAAUUUGGUGCCAUGACUCGGAUCGGGGUACCUCCCUUGGGAGAUCAAUCCCCAGUCCUCCUGCUCUUUGCUCCGUGAGAAAGAUCUACCUAGGACCUCAGGUCCUCAGACUGACCAGCCCAAGGAACAUCUCACCAAUUUCAAAUCUGGACCCCACUGAAAAUCGGACUGUUCAACUCAUCUGGCAGCCACUCCCAGAGCCCCUGGAACUCUGGCCCAAGCCUCUCUGACUGACUCCUUCCCAGAUCUUCUCGGCUUAGCAGCUGAAGACUGACACUGCCCAAUCGCCUUGGAAGCCCCCUAGACCAUCACGGAUGCCGAGCUUCGAGUAACUCUCACAGUGGAGGGAACGCGCAUGAAAAAACCAAACAAACAAAAAAAUUUCUUUUGGUAGCAGAAUAAAAAAACAAAAAAAAGGACUUUUUCUUCUGGACUGAACUAUAUUUAAAUCUCAAAGGAUGGACAUCUCACAACCUUCCUACAGCAAGUACUGUGAGAACUCAAAGGGGGAGAGAAAAAGACGAAAAAUAUCUUCAAAGAGGAGAACAAAUCUGAUCUUUCUCUACGUCUGCUUAGUUGGCGUAACUUUAGGAUGUCCAUAAGUUGUAGCUUUCCUGGGAAAAUUUGAUUUUACACUGGUUAUCCCAACAUAAUAUUAAUGGUAUCCUCUUAGACUCUCAAUAGUGUCCGGUUUGGAUGACAAAUUCUGUGGUCUUUUUAGCCAACUGCUACUGAAGUGGUCAGAUUUAUUGCACAAAAUAUAUUUUUAAAAAUAAGUAGCACAAGAUGAAAUAUGGCCUCAAAUUUCUUGGUUAGUUUCCACUAGAAAGUUUUAAACAUUAAAAAGUACAAAAUUCAUUACAUUUAUUGAAUGAUAAAGUAUAACAUUGUAUGAAGUUGAUGACUAUUAAAACUAUUUGAGUGUUUAA